CAUCGUGAGAUUGGGUCAACAGUAUUCCCCAAUAGUGCGAUACUGGAGGAGAUUUCUGUCGUGCGAGAUGGAAAUGAUAAUCAAAGAUGUUCCGGGGUUCAAGAAAAGUGAAAAAAAGGUAAAAAAAAAAGAGAAAAAAAAUCAAUCAAGAAGUUUUGGGGUUCAAGAAAAGUAAAAAUAUAAUAAUCCCCAGCGGAGCGCAAAUUGUUCGUCUGUUCUUGGUAUUCAAUCACUCUUCACCCUGAUCAUCUGA
rnacentral:lncRNA from 1 species